rnacentral:lncRNA from 1 species
GCAAAUACCAGUAAUCCCUGCAUUGAGGAGGCUGAGGUAGGAGGAUUUCUGCAAUUCCAAGGCCAGCCAGUGCUGCACAGUGAGUUUAAGGCUUGCCUGGGUUACAUAGUGAGAUCCUGUUUCAAAAAAAAAAAGCAAAUGAAUUUUGAGUUGAACAUGGUAGCACAUUUCUGUAAUCCCAGAAUCCAGAAGGCUGAGGCAGGAGAAUAGUGAAUUCUAGGCCGGCUGAAGCUACCCAGCAACAUAGAGAGUCUCUGGCUCAAAACAAAAGAAAACCAAAGAAGUACUGGCUUUUGUGUAUUAACAUUGUGUUCUGCAUGUAAUCUCAGUGCAAGUCAACACAACAUUUUUUUUCCUGAAAGUAUUUGGAACCAUUAAAAGCAUUGAACAAGCUGUGCAUGGCGGUUCAUGUCUGUAAUCUCAGCACUCAGGGGGCUGAGGCAGGAGGAUCCAUGUGAGUUCAAGGCCACCCUCAGAGACUGAGUUUCAAAGUCAGUCUGGGCUAUAUAAUAAAACCGUGUCUCAAAAAAAGAAAAAAAGCAUUGGGGGGUGCUGGGGAUUUAGCUCAGUGGUUCAGGUGCCUGCCUCGAAAGUGCAAGGUCCCAAGUUCGAUCCCUGGUACCAAAACAAAAAAAAAGCAUUGGACAAAAGUGGUGAACCCAUUAUAACUCUGCUGGAGAAGACUGAUCUGGAAGCAGAUUGGAUGUGAGGAAGAGGAGCUGGAGGCAGACAGUGCAUGAAGGAAGCUUUAUGUGGGCAGCCUAUGAAAAAUCAGGUUCAGAGAAAGAGUGAGAGUGUUGCAGCAGCAGUGGGAAGGAAAGAGCAGAUUCAAAGAAGCAGCACUGGUGGGCUGGGGAGAAGAAAAGAGAAGGAAUCCUCUGAACCUGGAGUCAGCACUGCUCUGAGCACAGCAGGAACUGAGCACAGACACCGGUAAGAGGGGACAACUUCUGGCUGGGAUGAGCAGGGCAGUGAAGAUGGCUGGGAGGAGGUGGUCAGAGAUGAAGGUCAACAUCUCAGGAGGGAGGAGGU